rnacentral:rRNA from 1 species
UACGGAGGGUGCGAGCGUUGUUCGGAAUUACUGGGCGUAAAGGGCUCGUAGGUGGCCAACUAAGUCGGACGUGAAAUCCCUCAGCUUAACUGGGGAACUGCGUCCGAUACUGGAUGGCUUGAGUUUGGGAGAGGGAUGCGGAAUUCCAGGUGUAGCGGUGAAAUGCGUAGAUAUCUGGAGGAACACCGGUGGCGAAGGCGGCAUCCUGGACCAACACUGACACUGAGGAGCGAAAGCGUGGGGAGCAAACAGG